UACGGGGGCCCGUGGACGACGCCUAGCUGC
rnacentral:piRNA from 1 species